UUGUUUGGCACCUCGAUGUCGGCUCAUCGCAUCCUGGGGCUGGAGCAGGUCCCAAGGGUUUGGCUGUUCGCCAAUUAAAGCGGUACGUGAGCUGGGUUUAGAACGUCGUGAGACAGUUCGGUCCCUAUCUGCCGUGGGUGUCGGAAAAUUGAGAGGAGCUGCCCCUAGUACGAGAGGACCGGGGUGGACGUAUCUCUGGUGGACCUGUUGUUGCGCCAGCAGCAUAGCAGGGUAGCUAUAUACGGAAGGGAUAACCGCUGAAUGCAUCUAAGCGGGAAGCCCCCCUCAAAACCAGUUUUCCCUUGAGAGUCGAGGAAGACUACCUCGUUGAUAGGCCAGGUGUGGAAGUGUGGCGACACAUGAAGCUGACUGGUACUAAUUACUCGAUAGGCUUGAUCUU
rnacentral:rRNA from 1 species